AUAAAAUAAUUAUGUUUUUGAAAUUUAUUAUUAAUUUAUUUUACAUAUAAAUUUUAGUAUAUAAUUUUAAUUAUUUUAAAAAUAAUUAAUUUUAUUUUAGUAGUAAUUAAUAUUAAAAAUUUAAGAAAUUAAGAUUUAGUAAUAUAAAAAUUAAUAACUAAUUUUGUGCCAGCAGUUGCGGUUAAACAAAAGUUAAAUUAAAUUAUUUCAGUAUAUAAUAAAUAAUUAAAUAAUUAAAAUAAAUAUUAAAUUAUUAAGUGAAAUUUUAAUUUGAUUAAAUUUUAUUUUAAAAUUAUGAUUUAAUAAAUUUUAAUAUAAACUAGGAUUAGAUACCCUAUUAUUAAAAAUUUAAUUUAUAAUACUAAAAUAGUAAAUAAUAAUUUAUUGAAACUUAAAUAACAUGGCGGUAUUUUAGUUCAUUUAGAGGAAUCUGUCUAAUAAUUGAUAAUCCACGAAUAAAUUUACUUAAUUUAUAAUUUUGUAUAUCAUUGUUAAAAAAAUAUUUUUAAGGAAAAAUAAUAUUUAAUAUUUAAAAUUAAAAGUUAAAUCAGAUCAAGAUGCAGAAUAUAAUUAAGAAUAUGAUGGAUUACAUUAAUUAUAAUUAAAUGAAUAAUUUUUUUUUUGUAAUAAAAAUUUGAAGGUGGAUUUAAAUGUAAUUUUAAUUAAUUUAUUAAAAUGAUUAAAAAUUAAAAUAUGUACAUAUUGCCCGUCACUUUCAUUUAAAAAUUGAAAUAAGUCGUAACAAAGUAGAGGUACUGGAAAGUGUUUCUAGAAAGA
rnacentral:ncRNA from 1 species